rnacentral:RNase_MRP_RNA from 1 species
AAGCACGGCUUCGCAGCGCACGCACGGGGAGCUCGCUCCCAUCCACGCUGCGGGGAAAGUCCCCGUGCCUUAGGUCAGAGAGUGUCAGCGGGAGACCGCAGGGCCUUGGCUUGCAUGCAGGCAGUGAAACCUCUGGUUGAGUUGCAGCUGCAGGCUUUGGCUUUUCGCAGCAGCGCAGGCAUGCCGUGAGCGCUCGCACACGGGCGCCAACUGAACGGGGCUCACUCUCGC